AUACGUAGGGGCGAGCGUUGUCCGGAAUGAUUGGGCGUAAAGGGCGCGUAGGCGGCUUUGCAAGUCAGUAGUGGAAGUCCAUUUUUCAAGGAUGGAAGUGCUACAGAAACUGCGGAGCUUGAGUGCAGGAGAGGUUAUCGGAAUUCCCGGUGUAGCGGUGAAAUGCGUAGAGAUCGGGAGGAACACCAGUGGCGAAGGCGGGUAACUGGACUGCAACUGACGCUGAGGCGCGAAAGUGUGGGGAGCAAACAGGAUUAGAUACCCUGGUAGUCCACACUGUAAACGAUGAAUGCUAGGUGUAGGAGGUAUCGACCCCUUCUGUGCCGCAGUAAACACAGUAAGCAUUCCGCCUGGGGAGUACGGUCGCAAGAUUAAAACUCAAAUGAAUUGACGGGG
rnacentral:rRNA from 1 species